rnacentral:tRNA from 1 species
CGGGAUGUAGCGCAGCCUGGUAGCGCACCUGCUUGGGGUGCAGGUGGUCGUGGGUUCAAAUCCCGCCAUCCCGACCA